rnacentral:tRNA from 1 species
GCACCAGUAGCUCAGCUGGAUAGAGCACCCGCCUUCUAAGCGGAUGGUCAGAGGUUCGAAUCCUCUCUGGUGCG